UUAGAGUUUGAUCCUGGCUCAGGAUGAACGCUAGCGACAGGCUUAACACAUGCAAGUCGAGGGGCAGCGGGGUAGUGCUUGCACUACUGCCGGCGACCGGCGCACGGGUGAGUAACACGUAUGGAACCUGCCCGCAGCAGGGGGAUAAGCGGAAGAAAUUCCGUCUAAUACCGCGUAACAACGUUGGGAGGCAUCUCCCGAUGUUUAAAGAUUUAUCGGCUGCGAUGGCGAUGCGUCCCAUUAGCUAGUUGGCGGGGUAACGGCCCACCAAGGCUCCGAUGGGUAGGGGUUCUGAGAGGAAGGUCCCCCACACUGGAACUGAGACACGGUCCAGACUCCUACGGGAGGCAGCAGUGAGGAAUAUUGGUCAAUGGACGCAAGUCUGAACCAGCCAAGUAGCGUGCAGGAUGACGGCCCUCCGGGUUGUAAACUGCUUUUAGUUGGGAAUAAAAGGGGGCUCGUGAGCCCCGUAUUGUAUGUACCAUCAGAAAAAGGACCGGCUAAUUCCGUGCCAGCAGCCGCGGUAAUACGGAAGGUCCGGGCGUUAUCCGGAUUUAUUGGGUUUAAAGGGAGCGUAGGCCGGCUUUUAAGUCAGCUGUGAAAGUCCGCGGCUCAACCGUGGAAUUGCAGUUGAAACUGGAGGCCUUGAGUGCACACAGGGAUGCCGGAAUUCAUGGUGUAGCGGUGAAAUGCUUAGAUAUCAUGAAGAACUCCGAUCGCGAAGGCAAGUGUCCGGGGUGCAACUGACGCUGAGGCUCGAAAGUGCGGGUAUCAAACAGGAUUAGAUACCCUGGUAGUCCGCACCGUAAACGAUGAAUACUCGUGUCCCGCGAUAUAUUGGUGGGACACUUAGCGAAAGCGUUAAGUAUUCCACCCUGGGGAGUACGCCGGCAACGGUGAAACUCAAAGGAAUUGACGGGGGCCCGCACAAGCGGAGGAACAUGUGGUUUAAUUCGAUGAUACGCGAGGAACCUUACCCGGGCUUGAAAUGUGCAGGACUCAGGCAGAGACGCCUGUUUCUUCGGACCUGCAUGUAGGUGCUGCAUGGUUGUCGUCAGCUCGUGCCGUGAGGUGUCGGCUUAAGUGCCAUAACGAGCGCAACCCUUCUCCCCGUUUGCCAUCAGUUAAUGCUGGGCGCUCCGGGGACACUGCCAUCGUAAGAUGUGAGGAAGGUGGGGAUGACGUCAAAUCAGCACGGCCCUUACGUCCGGGGCUACACACGUGUUACAAUGGGGGGUACAGAGGGCCGCUAUCCCGCGAGGGUGCGCCAAUCCUCAAAACCUCUCUCGGUUCGGACUGGAGUCUGCAACCCGACUCCACGAAGCUGGAUUCGCUAGUAAUCGCGCAUCAGCCAUGGCGCGGUGAAUACGUUCCCGGGCCUUGCACACACCGCCCGUCA
rnacentral:rRNA from 1 species